rnacentral:rRNA from 1 species
AAAGGCGCUUUCGGGUGUCGCUGAUGGAUGGACCCGCGGUGCAUUAGCUAGUUGGUGAGGUAACGGCUCACCAAGGCCACGAUGCAUAGCCGACCUGAGAGGGUGAUCGGCCACAUUGGGACUGAGACACGGCCCAAACUCCUACGGGAGGCAGCAGUAGGGAAUCUUCGGCAAUGGACGAAAGUCUGACCGAGCAACGCCGCGUGAGUGAAGAAGGUUUUCGGAUCGUAAAACUCUGUUGUUAGAGAAGAACAAGGAUGAGAGUAACUGUUCAUCCCUUGACGGUAUCUAACCAGAAAGCCACGGCUAACUACGUGCCAGCAGCCGCGGUAAUACGUAGGUGGCAAGCGUUGUCCGGAUUUAUUGGGCGUAAAGCGAGCGCAGGCGG